rnacentral:rRNA from 1 species
UACGUAGGUGACAAGCGUUGUCCGGAUUUACUGGGCGUAAAGAGCGCGCAGGCGGUCGAUCAAGUCGAGUGUGAAAGCCCCCGGCUCAACUGGGGAGGGUCAUUCGAUACUGAUCGACUCGAAGGCAGGAGAGGGUAGUGGAAUUCCCGGUGUAGUGGUGAAAUGCGUAGAUAUCUGGAGGAACACCGGUGGCGAAGGCGGCAUCCUGGACCGGUAUUGACGCUGAGGCGCGAAAGCCAGGGGAGCAAACGGG